ACAGUUGUUCACUUAAAAGACCCCACUGAGUUGACUGGAACUCUUAGACCUAAUAAACACAGUAAAAUUGCAGAUACAAAAUCAAUUAAAAAAUAGUAGCCUUUAUUUAUGUGAACAGUGCACCCUCAGAGAAAUAAAUUAGGAGAAAUAUUCCAUUCAGAAUAACUGUAAAAAGAAAGUAUUUAGGAAUAUAUCUAAUCAAAGAAGAGAAAGAUGCUUACAAUGAAAAUUUUGAGAUAUUGAAAAGGAAAGCAGUGAAGAUACAAGGUGGGAGAAAGACAGUCCAUAGUCUUAGAUUGGGAGAACUAAUUUGUGAAAAUGUCCAAACCGCCAAACUUGACUUAAUAAACUUAGUGCAGGACCUCUCAAAAUUCCAAUGUCAUGUUCAGCAGUUUUAGAAGAGACAAAUGGAGAAUUUAUAGACUCACAGAAGACCAUGAAUAGCCACAGCGGUUGUAGGGAGUGAGGGCACUGCUGGAGGUUGGACAGUGCCUCAAAUUGUGCUAGAGCCACAGUGAUAAAGGCAGCCUGGUGUGCUGUAAAAGUGAGCAGUAGAGCAGAACAGAGGACUCAGAAACCAAACAGCAAGCUAUUUUAUUUUUGACAAAGGUGGCAAAAACAUGCUUCAGAAGAAAAGACAGCCUGUUAAUGAGUGGUACUGGGAAAACUAGAUAUCCACCUGCAAGAUGAAAUUAGAUUCUUAUCUUUUAUCUUAUACAAA
rnacentral:lncRNA from 1 species